UACAGAGGGUGCGAGCGUUAAUCGGACUUACUGGGCGUAAAGGGUGCGUAGGCGGGGAUAUAAGUUAGUUGUGAAAGACCUGGGCUUAACCGAGUGAUAGCAAUUAAGACUGUAUUUCUUGAGUUGAGUAGAGGGGAGCGGAAUUUCCGGUGUAGCGGUGAAAUGCGUAGAUAUCGGAAGGAACACCUGUUGCGAAGGCGGCUCUCUGGACUCAAACUGACGCUGAGGCACGAAAGCGUGGGUAGCGAACAGGAUUAGAUACCCCGGUAGUCCUGGCCCUAAACGAUGAGUGCUUGGUGUGGCGGGUAUCGAUCCCUGCCGUGCCGAAGCUAACGCAUUAAGCACUCCGCCUGGGGAGUACGGUCGCAAGGCUGAA
rnacentral:rRNA from 1 species